GAUGAAGAACGUAGCAAAAUGCGAUAAGUAAUGUGAAUUGCAGAAUUCAGUGAAUCAUCGAAUCUUUGAACGCACAUUGCGCCCGCUGGUAUUCCGGCGGGCAUGCCUGUCCGAGCGUCAUUACAACCCUCAAGCUCAGCUUGGUGUUGGGCCCCGCCGCCCCGGCGGGCCCUAAAGUCAGUGGCGGUGCCGUCCGGCUCCGAGCGUAGUAAUUCUUCUCGCUCUGGAGGUCCGGUCGUGUGCUCGCCAGCAACCCCCAAUUUUUUUCAGGUUGACCUCGGAUCAGGUAGGGAUACCCGCUGAACUUAAGCAUAUCAAUAAGCGGAGGA
rnacentral:misc_RNA from 1 species